AGCGAACGCUGGCGGCAGGCUUAACACAUGCAAGUCGAGCGGGCACUUCGGUGUCAGCGGCAGACGGGUGAGUAACACGUGGGAACGUGCCCUUCGGUUCGGAAUAACUCAGGGAAACUUGAGCUAAUACCGGAUACGCCCUUUUGGGGAAAGGUUUACUGCCGAAGGAUCGGCCCGCGUCUGAUUAGUUAGUUGGUGGGGUAAUGGCCUACCAAGGCGACGAUCAGUAGCUGGUCUGAGAGGAUGAUCAGCCACACUGGGACUGAGACACGGCCCAGACUCCUACGGGAGGCAGCAGUGGGGAAUAUUGGACAAUGGGCGGCAAGCCUGAUCCAGCCAUGCCGCGUGAGUGAUGAAGGCCC
rnacentral:rRNA from 1 species